GAUGAACGCUGGCGGCGUGCCUAAUACAUGCAAGUCGAGCGAACGGACGAGAAGCUUGCUUCUCUGAUGUUAGCGGCGGACGGGUGAGUAACACGUGGAUAACCUACCUAUAAGACUGGGAUAACUUCGGGAAACCGGAGCUAAUACCGGAUAAUAUUUUGAACCGCAUGGUUCAAAAGUGAAAGACGGUCUUGCUGUCACUUAUAGAUGGAUCCGCGCUGCAUUAGCUAGUUGGUAAGGUAACGGCUUACCAAGGCAACGAUGCAUAGCCGACCUGAGAGGGUGAUCGGCAACACUGGAACUGAGACAAGGUCCAGACUCCUACGGGAGGCAGCAGUAGGGAAUCUUCCGCAAUGGGCGAAAGCCUGACGGAGCAACGCCGCGUGAGUGAUGAAGGUCUUCGGAUCGUAAAACUCUGUUAUUAGGGAAGAACAUAUGUGUAAGUAACUGUGCACAUCUUGACGGUACCUAAUCAGAAAGCCACGGCUAACUACGUG
rnacentral:rRNA from 1 species